rnacentral:rRNA from 1 species
GACGAACGCUGGCGGCAUGCCUAAUACAUGCAAGUCGAGCGAACAGAUGAAGUGCUUGCACUUCUGACGUUAGCGGCGAACGGGUGAGUAACACGUAAGGAAUCUACCUAUAAGCGGGGGAUAACAUUCGGAAACGGGUGCUAAUACCGCAUAAUAUCUUCUUCCGCAUGGAAGAAGAUUGAAAGACGGUUCUGCUGUCACUUAUAGAUGACCUUGCGGUGCAUUAGUUAGUUGGUGGGGUAAUGGCCUACCAAGACGAUGAUGCAUAGCCGACCUGAGAGGGUGCUCGGCCACAUUGGGACUGAGACACGGCCCAAACUCCUACGGGAGGCAGCAGUAGGGAAUCUUCCGCAAUGGGCGAAAGCCUGACGGAGCAAUGCCGCGUGAGUGAAGAAGGCCUUCGGGUCGUAAAACUCUGUUAUAAGAGAAGAACAAAUUAUAGAGUAACUGCUACAGUCUUGACGGUAUCUUAUCAGAAAGCCACGGCUAACUACGUGCCAGCCGCCGCGGUAA